rfam:Triticum aestivum genome assembly, contig: Triticum_aestivum_CS42_TGACv1_scaffold_571120_7AS
GAAAUACUCCCUCCGUCCCAAAAUUCUUGUCUUAGAUUUGUCUAAAUACGGAUGUAUCAAGUCACAUUUUAAUAUUAGAUACAUCCGUAUCUAGACUAAUCUAAGAAUUUUGGGACGGAAGGAGUAUAAA